UACGAAGGGGGCUAGCGUUGCUCGGAAUUACUGGGCGUAAAGGGCGCGUAGGCGGAUAUUUAAGUUGGGGGUGAAAUCCCGGGGCUCAACCUCGGAAUUGCCUUCAAAACUGGAUAUCUUGAGUUCGGGAGAGGUGAGUGGAACUCCGAGUGUAGAGGUGAAAUUCGUAGAUAUUAGGAAGAACACCAGUGGCGAAGGCGGCUCACUGGCCCGGUACUGACGCUCAUGUGCGAAAGCGUGGGGAGCAAACAGG
rnacentral:rRNA from 1 species